rnacentral:rRNA from 1 species
AGAAGUUUGAUUCAUGGCUCAGGAUGAACGCUGGCGGCGUGCUAAUACAUGCAAGUCGAGCGAACGGACGAGAAGCUUGCUUCUCUGAUGUUAGCGGCGGACGGGUGAGUAACACGUGGAUAACCUACCUAUAAGACUGGGAUAACUUCGGGAAACCGGAGCUAAUACCGGAUAAUAUUUUGAACCGCAUGGUUCAAAAGUGAAAGACGGUCUUGCUGUCACUUAUAGAUGGAUCCGCGCUGCAUUAGCUAGUUGGUAAGGUAACGGCUUACCAAGGCAACGAUGCAUAGCCGACCUGAGAGGGUGAUCGGCCACACUGGAACUGAGACACGGUCCAGACUCCUACGGGAGGCAGCAGUAGGGAAUCUUCCGCAAUGGGCGAAAGCCUGACGGAGCAACGCCGCGUGAGUGAUGAAGGUCUUCGGAUCGUAAAACUCUGUUAUUAGGGAAGAACAUAUGUGUAAGUAACUGUGCACAUCUUGACGGUACCUAAUCAGAAAGCCACGGCUAACUACGUGCCAGCAGCCGCGGUAAUACGUAGGUGGCAAGCGUUAUCCGGAAUUAUUGGGCGUAAAGCGCGCGUAGGCGGUUUUUUAAGUCUGAUGUGAAAGCCCACGGCUCAACCGUGGAGGGUCAUUGGAAACUGGAAAACUUGAGUGCAGAAGAGGAAAGUGGAAUUCCAUGUGUAGCGGUGAAAUGCGCAGAGAUAUGGAGGAACACCAGUGGCGAAGGCGACUUUCUGGUCUGUAACUGACGCUGAUGUGCGAAAGCGUGGGGAUCAAACAGGAUUAGAUACCCUGGUAGUCCACGCCGUAAACGAUGAGUGCUAAGUGUUAGGGGGUUUCCGCCCCUUAGUGCUGCAGCUAACGCAUUAAGCACUCCGCCCCGGGG